GGUUCGAUCAUGGCCUCGAUUGAACGCUGGCGGGAUGUUUACACAUGCAAGUCGAACGGCAGCACGGACUUCGGUCUGGUGACGAGUGGCGAACGGGUGAGUAAUGUAUCGGAACGUGCCUAGUAGCGGGGGAUAACGGCGAAAGCGUAGCUAAUACCGCAUAACACCCUUCGGGGAAAGCGGGGGGACCUUCGGGCCUCGCACUAUUAGAGCGGCCGAUAUCGAUUAGCUAGGUUGGUGGGGUAACGGCUCACCAAGGGGGCGACGAUCCGUAGCUGGUUUGAGAGGACGACCAGCCACACUGGGACUGAGACGGCCCAGACUCUACGUGGAGGCAGCAGUGGGGAAUUUUGGACAAUGGGGGAAACUCCUGAUCCAGCCAUCCGCGUGCGAUGAAGGGCCUUCGGGUUGUAGCGCACUUUUGGCAGGGAAAGAAACGGCACGGAUACCACCCGGUGCAACUGACGGUACCCGGUAAGAAUAAGCACCGGCUAACUACGUGCCAGCAGCCGCGGUAAUGUAGGGUGCAAGCGUUAAUCGGAAUUACCGGGCGUAAAGCGCGGCGGUUCGGUGUAAAGAUGGAAAUUCGGCUACUUUGGUACUGCAUUUUUAACGCACGAGCGGAGUGUCAGAGAGCAGGGAAUUCGUGCAGUGAAAAUGCAUAUGCAAACCGACACGAUGGCGAAGGCGUUCUGGAUAACACUGACGCGCUCAUGCACGAAAGCGUGGGGAGCAAACAGGAUUAGAUAAUUCUGGUAGUCCACGCCCUAAACGAUGUCAACUAGCUGUUGGGGCCUUCGGGCUCUGCAGCUAACGCGUGAAGUUGACCGCCUGGGAGUACGGUCGUAAGAUUAAAACUCAAAGGGAAUUGACGGGACCCACAAGCGGUGGAUGAUGUGGAUUAAUUCGAUGCAACGCGAAAACCUUACCUACCCUUGACAUGUCUGGAAUCCCGAAGAGAUUUGGGAGUGCUCGCAAGAGAACCGAACACAGGUGCUGCAUGGCUGUCGUCAGCUCGUGUCGUGAGAUGUUGGGUUAAGUCCCGCAACGAGCGCAACCUUGUCAUUAGCUGCUACGAAAGGGCACUCUAAUGAGUCGCCGGUGACAAACCGGAGGAAGGUGGGAUGACGUCAAGUCCUCAUGGCUCCUAUGGGUAGGGCUUCACACGUCAUACAAUGGUCGGGACAGAGGGUCGCCAACCCGCGAGGGAGCCAAUCCCAGAAACCCGAUCGUAGUCCGGAUCGCAGUCUGCAACCUCGACUGCGUGAAGUCGGAAUCGCCAGUAAUCGCGGAUCAGCAUGUCGCGGUGAAUACGUUCCCUGGGUCUGUACACCGCCCGUCACACCAUGGGAGUGGGUUUUACCAGAAGUAGUUAGCCCAACUGCAAGGAGGGCGAUUACCACGGUAGGAUUCAUGACUGGGGCGGUCGUAACAAGGUAA
rnacentral:rRNA from 1 species